UACAGAGGUCCCAAGCGUUGUUCGGAUUCAUUGGGCGUAAAGGGUGUGUAGGUGGCGCCGUAAGUCGGGUGUGAAAUCUCGGGGCUUAACUCCGAAACUGCAUUCGAUACUGCGGUGCUUGAGGACUGGAGAGGAGACUGGAAUUCAUGGUGUAGCAGUGAAAUGCGUAGAGAUCAUGAGGAAGACCGGUGGCGAAGGCGGGUCUCUGGACAGUUCCUGACACUGAGACACGAAGGCCAGGGGAGCAAACGGG
rnacentral:rRNA from 1 species